AUGCCUGGUGUAACAAUUAUGUGUAUGUGUAUAAUUUUGCAAAAACUUAUGUUCGGAGGGGGGAGAGAAGGGAAGAAAGCUAUUGAAGACUGUGAUUAAAUGCCCAAUGCUAGUCCCAAAGCGGGUAGACGCAGAUAAGGAGAGCAUCCACCAUGUCCUGAGCCAUCUCCUGAGCCAAGUGUUCUCCUUGGAGGGCUAACUGUCCUCCCUGCAAGGCCAGGUGUCCUCCCUGCAGGGCCUGGAGAGUGACUGGCAGGGCCAGAACGAGAAGGACCAGGAGCUGCUGACGAGCAUCCAGGUCAGAGCUGUCAAGCUGGAGAGGAUCGGUGAGGCCCUCACCUCGGUCACCAGGAGCCUCAUGGACAAGCUUCAGCAGACGGACGAAGAUCUCGAGGCUCUGUCCCUGUGCAUGGAGAGGCUGCAGGAGAAAGCGGACAAGGUGGACUGAGGGAGCCAGCUCAGGAUCACCUGCCCUUGUAGCGUCCCCAGCACCUCCUGCCCCUUCAACCCAGAGCCCUGAAGCUGCUCCAACCCCCCAGCAAGGCUUCCCGAGGGACAAGCCCAGAUUGUCCCCAAGGCAGAAGGACACAAGGACAGUGUCAGCCCACAAGGAUCACUCCCAGCCACUGAGCAUCCUUCCACCCCUCUUGAUCCCACGGGCCAGAUCCAUCACCUCAGCAGCCAGGCAAGAACAGAGUGUGCCCGGCCAAACCACCCCGUCCCUGCCAGUGAGGGAGAAGGCAGGAACCACAGCCCUGAGAAAAGGAAUUGUUUAACUGCU